CUUGAAGUAGAUACGACCAUUAUGACGGAUGCCACAGAUUGACCCACACAACAUUCACUCCAGUGCCUGGACUCUCUCUUGUGCCCAGAGUUCAGCAUAUGACCCAGCUCCUGGCAAACCAAUGCCCAUGUGCCCCAGCAGCAGAAGUGAUUCAAAUGGAGUGACAACUGCCUGUGGGUGGAUCCAUCUUUUUGUAACUAUGAUGAUAGAGAAGCUUUGGUAGAAGUUCCAAUGUCCUGCCUCUAGCAACAUAGCAGAAGGACUUUUGUGAGAAACGGGCAGAAGGAACUGAUUAAACAUGAAGCUUCACAGGAAAGAAUUCUCAUUUGAGUCUUUAUGGAGGAUGACAGCUUACUCCACAUUUCAACAUGACUGGAACAACCGGUGACAGGAUUCUGGCCAGCUAGAGCUUUUUUUCCUCCAUUAGAUCCCAUUGAAGCCAUGGCACAAAAUAGGAGCUCAACAAAUAUCUGAAUAUAUAUCUGUGUAUCUUGUAUUUUGAGACUAAUAAAUGUACUUAUGUUUUGGCUCCC